rnacentral:lncRNA from 1 species
ACCAAAUCAUGCAUCUCCACGACUUCUGUAUUCAACCUCAUGGAUUGCCUGCACACAGGCACCGAAUCUAGUAGAUCCUGCGAGCACCAUUGUGCAUCCGGCUCUUUUUGCUUGGCAAACACGAAAGCUUGAUCUGCCAAGCUUGCGAGCUGGUGCUUGCCCAGACUCCUCUCCACCAUCUUCCAGUUGGCGCCGCGGAAGAACGUUGCAACGUCCAGGAAGGCCUCCUGAAAGGACGGGUCGAGACCGUCGUAAAUCACCUUGAGCUUGGAGCAUAUCUCGUCGUCGCGAACUUGGAACUCCUGUGCCAGCUUCAGCUUCUUUGCUAUGUGCAGCCAUUCGUCUCUC